UCCGGUUUGGCACCGGCAGUCCCCCGAGAGUCCUCAGCGUUUUGCAACCUGUUAGCAACACGGGGCGGGGGUUGCGCUCGUUGCGGGACUUAACCCAACAUCUCACGACACGAGCUGACGACAGCCAUGCAGCACCUGUGCACGAUCUCCGAAGAGGGGCUCUCGUUUCUGAGAGCUUGCUCGUGCAUGUCAAGCCUAGGUAAGGUUCUUCGCGUUGUGUCGAAUUAAACCACAUGCUCCACCGCUUGUGCGGGCCCCCGUCAAUUUCUUUGAGUUUUAAUCUUGCGACCGUACUUCCCAGGCGGGGUACUUAUCGCGUUAGCUACGGCACCGGGAGGGUAUAUCUCCCGACACCUAGUACCCAUAGUUUACGGCGUGGACUAC
rnacentral:misc_RNA from 1 species